rnacentral:tRNA from 1 species
GGGGAUGUGGCUCAAGCGGUAGCAGUGCUCGCCUGGCAUGCGAGCGGUUCUGGGUUCGAUCCUCAGCACCACAA